ACUCAUAUAUUUUAUAUGGAAUUUAAUAUUGAAGAUAUUAGGGUGAAUUAGUUAAUUCUGUGAGUA
rnacentral:tRNA from 1 species